rnacentral:rRNA from 1 species
AUUGAACGCUGGCGGCAGGCCUAACACAUGCAAGUCGAGCGGAUGAAGGGAGCUUUCUCCUGGAUUCAGCGGCGGACGGGUGAGUAAUGCCUAGGAAUCUGCCUGGUAGUGGGGGAUAACGUCCGGAAACGGGCGCUAAUACCGCAUACGUCCUGAGGGAGAAAGUGGGGGAUCUUCGGACCUCACGCUAUCAGAUGAGCCUAGGUCGGAUUAGCCAGUUGGUGGGGUAAAGGCCUACCAAGGCGACGAUCCGUAACUGGUCUGAGAGGAUGAUCAGUCACACUGGAACUGAGACACGGUCCAGACUACUACGGGAGGCAGCAGUGGGGAAUAGUGGACAAUGGGCGAAAGCCUGAUCCAGCCAUGCCGCGUGUGUGAAGAAGGUCUUCGGAUUGUAAAGCACUUUAAGUUGGGAGGAAGGGCAGUAAGUUAAUACCUUGCUGUUUUGACGUUACCAACAGAAUAAGCACCGGCUAACUUCGUG